rnacentral:rRNA from 1 species
GACGAACGCUGGCGGCGUGCUUAACACAUGCAAGUCGAACGGGAUCCAAGGGGUGCUUGCACGUUUUGGUGAGAGUGGCGAACGGGUGAGUCAUACGUGAGUAACCUGUCCCUUUCUUUGGGAUAAGCAUUCGAAAGGGUGUUUAAUACCUUAUGUUCUGUCUGCCUCGUAUGGGGUGGGUGGGUAAGGCUGUUGCCGGAGUUGGGUGGGCUCGCGGUCUAUCUGCUUGUUGGUGGGGUGAUGGCGUACCAAGGCUUUGCCGGGUAGCCGGCCUGAGAGGGUCUGCGGUGACAUUGGGACUCAUAUGCGGCGCAGUCUGCUGCGGACGGCAGCAGUAGGGGAUAUUGCAGAAUGGGCGAAAGCCUGAUGCAGCGACGCCGCGUGGGGCAUGGAGGCGUUCGGGUUGUAAACUUCUUUAGCUCUGAACCAGGCGUGCCGGUGGGUGUGUUACGUGAAGGGGUUGAUAAGCGCCGGCUAACUACGUG